UGCCUUUGCAGUGCUAACUUGUCCUCGCUCAUAGUCAAGCAAUGCACCAUAAAAAUCUGCGCCACCAACGAAAGUAUCAACAUUGGUUGCCUUGACCUAAAAAGGUGACGAAAUUAAGAAUUACAACAUCUAUCUCAACACCUGCAUAGAGAAUCUGUACAAGAUAUGAGAAGUAGAUUACCUCAACACUCCAUUGAUAACUCAACAAUUGACACAUUCAGAGGUACAUUCAGAAGGUACAUGCACCGAACCCUGGUGUUGGCAAUAUGUUAUGGUCUUUUUAAAAGUAGAGACUUUUUUUUUGAAAGACACUAUGCCAGAGCACUUGUGCUUACUGCCGAAUCUACUAGCCAUUUAACAAUGUUUUUCUUUCAUAACAAAUCAGCGAAUAAUACUUUCAGUCAUGACUUAUCAGCUAAACAAACAGGCUUAGAUCAAACCGUUCAAGGCAGCAGCAAAGCAUGCACACAACAUUAGUAUCCUCGUAAAAAGUUACCUUCCAUGUAGGAGAGCUACCAGUGAAGCUAAGGCCUUGUUUAGUUCGCAAAAACUUUUGGUUCGAAAUACUGUAGUACUUUCGUUUUUAUUUGACAAAUAUUGUCUAAUUAUAGAGUAACUAGACUCAAAAGAUUCAUCUCGCGGUUUACAGACAAAUUGUGUAUUUAGUUUUUAUUUUCAUCUAUAUUUAAUACUCCAUGCAUGUGUCGCAAGAUUCGAUGUGACGAAGAAUCUUGAAAAUUUUUUGAGUUUUUGGAUGAACUGAAAAGGCCUAACCUAGGCACACUGCCAUCUUCUGUCCCUUUGGUUCCACCAUUAUCCCUGAAUCUUUGGCUUUGUUUAGUUCACGAAAAAUUUUGGGUUUUAAUACGGUAGCACUUUCGGUUUCACUUGACAAUUAUUAUUCAAUUAUAGACUAACUAGACUUAAAAGAUUCAACAUCAAAUGGAGUUGCACAUCCGUUGGACUUUAAUUUUUGCCAUAAAAAUAUAAAAAUAACCUAGAUAACAUAGAUAACAUAUCUAUUGGAGUUGCUCUAAAGUUCCAAACACAUUAACUAAAAGAAACUAAAAUAGUUUAGUUCCAUUAGUCACUUAAGAAUAGCUAAAAUAAUAUAAUUUUAGAAUUUAGCAACGGUAACCAGAGCCUUAGUUAAAUUUGAACUAGUUUGACUCACGCGAUUUCUGUAAUUGUUUCUGCUGCUUUGGCGUGCCCCCCUCCCGCGCCGCUGCCGAUCUCUUUCGCUUCCCCGUCCGCCGCCGCUCGCUCCACCCCUCCGACGGCGCGCUCGCCACCUCGCCCGCCGCCGCGACUUACCCGCUGCGCGCGCGCGCAUUCAGGAGUUUCCCACCGCUCUCGGGCCCGUCACGCUCGACGCCUAUCUCCAGCAGCUCGCUAGAGCCGGGCGCCUAACGGACGCUGUCAAAGUGUUCGACGAAUUGCCGGUGCAGUUCCGUAACCAUGACACUUUGCUGGUCUCCUCGCUUUCUGCCGGGAGCUACCCCUUGCACGCAGAGCGUGCUGCGAAGAAGGUCGCCAACGAGAUCUUCCCGGAUGACAAUAUCUGUACUUUGCUGGUAUCUGGCCAAUAUGCUGGUAAGCUCGACCGUGCACUAAGGUUGGUUGGUGAGACAUGUAGAGGUCGGUUGCAGCCAGGAUUGUAUGUACACAUUGCUGUUCUUGGUUGUGUCUGCCGGCUCUGUCACAAGGACCCACUGAGGAUGCCCAUGGAAGCAGAUAAGUUCUUAGUUGACAUGGAAGCCAAUGGCAUUCCCCGUGAUGCAGGGACAUUUCGGGUUCUUAUCACAAUUUUUUUCAAGAUCCACAAGACAGAGGAUGCCAUGAAUCUGUUCCAGCAUACUAUAGGUGAGUGGGACUGCUCAGAGGAGCUGAGAGCCUGAGACGUACUUGGUGCUCAUCAGCAGCUUGUACCAAGCUGCUCGAACUUCAGAGGGGGAUGAGAUGAUGACAUCGUUGUGGUAAGGAUUUGGAGAUAAACUUGAUAGGAAGGCAUAUUGCGGAUUCAUCAAGAUCUUAUGUGGGAUUGAGAGGGUUGAACAUGCUAUUCUGUAUGGUGAAAGGUUAUGGGCGUGCUCCUGGAGUAAAAUCAUAUAGCUUGCUCAUUGAGAAGCUGGCUGGGCACAAUUUAGGGGAUCGUUCCAAUGCACUGUUCAGGGAGGCCAUUGCACGUGGUGUAGCUGUGCAGAAUGAGAGUAUAAAUUGACAAAAGGUAUGUUAAGGCAAAGGAGGAGUGAAGAAAAGGCUGACUCUGCCACAGAAGAUGAGAUUGAAGAGCAAGAGGUUAUACAAGCUCAGAAUGAGCUUUGUCAAGAAGCCCAAGCGUCGAAUGCUCCAGGCUUAAGCAGAAUUUGGGUAUUCCCAUAGUCAUGCUGAUUUCAUUACUCGUUCAUAAAUCAUAAUACUAUCUUUGCUUCAGCAUUUGCCAUGUCGAUCGUGAUCUUUUCUGAGAAUCAGUUUGUCAUUCUUUGUUAAUCAUUUUAUCCUGCGCUACUGUCACUAUAUCUUACUUCAUCACACUUGAAUUAUAGAAGCACAAUAAAAUCAUUUCCCCCCAAAGGUUCUAGUAUGCAGAUUCAAAACUCUGUUUAGAAUAUUGGCACAUUCAAAAACGAUUUAUAAGGAAAAACCUAGUUUCUCCAUGAAUGUGUUUAGGAGUAUUGUUUUACACCAUUAUAGUAAGAUGCUUAUGAAAAGCCUAGUUUCUCCAUGAAUGUGUAUAAGACAAGUUAUAAGGAAAAACGUACCAGUAGAUGUAUCAGUGUGAUGCUGAAUAUGCUGUGAAGUCAAGAAAAUCUAGGAAGAAUGUUCUUUUGGGGAUGAGGGAAGUUAGCAUGUAUUUGUCUAAAUUGGGUAGUUUCACUUGAAUUUUGUUGCUGAGCUCGUAUCAAUUUUUUCUGAUCCAGUAACCACUAACCAGUAGAUCAUCGUUAUAACAUGGAAAUGAGUGUAGUUUCUUAGGAAAUUUUAGGUGCCCCAAACAUUGCUUUGUCAUGUUAUUUUUGUCAAACUGGCUAUUUUGUUAUUUGUUUAAUCCUCUGUAGUAGUUGCAUAGAUAAUAAAUAUUAAAUAUUGGCAUAUUCAAAACAAUCUGUGGUAAUCCGUGCAUCUGUGUGUGUGUGGGUGUGUUCUACUUUAAGUUCUCUUCUUCUUAAUGCAAUGAUAUGUAGCUCUCCUGCGUUUCGAGAAAAAAAGAGAUUUUUUGUCAAAUGCAGAUGCUUGGUAAAAUGGAUACUAGAAAUUUCAUGAAAACCACGAUGCACUGUUUACAAUCACCAAAAUUCCUGGAUCACUCCUUUGUUAGGACUGGAUGAUGAUAGAAUGUGUACGUAUAUAUCAUAUAUGCAAGCCUAUACUUGAGUAUCAAAAGCUUAGUUUGGUUUCAUGUUCCUUGUCCAAUAUUACCUGACUCUCUGCCUCCACAAAGCUAGUAGAAACUGGAUUUUUUUUGUUCCUCUUCAUUUAGAGCAGUCCAGUCUGCUGCAGAAUAGCUUCAUGGGAACAAUGCAGCUAUAUUUGUUUUAGAAAAUCAAAUUUUUUACUUUAUGGACCUUUGACUAUGAAAGUAAAGCUGCUUUGCUCAGGUUCUCACACCGGCCUGUGAAAUACGAGUUCCAAAUAACUUUCUGUUAUGUGUUGCUAAGGUUGCACUGAUACAAAGUUUCUUACUACCAUGCUGGCGUUUUGUUUUGUUACAUAUAGGCAUGACCAGAGCAUACUCCAUAUUAUAGGAGUGUUGGGUUGUAUCCAUUUUUUAAGCUCCCCUACGGCACCAGAGCAUAUACAGCAUAGCAGAUUAGAAUGUACUUAGCCCCAUCACUACAAGUCUACAUGUAGGCUCCUCCAACUUUCUGUAUUGUAUCAUAUCAUGAGCUUGACUUACAAAUUUGGCUUCUUACCAUCCAGUGUUUAACAUAUGGAAUAUGCUCUGGCCACGCAACAUCUUCCUUGCUCUUAAGUUUGAUCAUCCUUUUAGUGUCGAACAUAAUUCUCAUGUUUGUGAAGUUGCAAGUGCUCAACACAUACUCCUAUGUGUGACUGUUUUGGCUGAAGUUACAAGAUACUCCCUCCGUCUCAAAAUAGAAGGCGUAACUGUUUUUUUCUAAUGUCCUAGCAUAUAAGGCGCAGCUCUUUAAUCCAAUAGUUCACACGCAUGCAGCCAUGCAAUAUUUACUGCACCUGCACAGUUUCUCACCUUUCUAUUCACGCUAAUUUAAGUUAUUGUCUUUCUCUCUCUAGUGGGGACUGGUUGGCCUGCACUUAGCAUUUAGUUGAGCGCUGGUCUCCGUACACAUGUUACAAGAACCAAAGUAUCAAUUGUGAGAGAGAUCAAAAAUUAAAACUUUUCUUGGUCUGCGCACAUAAGGCAAUUGCGCCUUCUAUCCUGAGACGGAGGGAGUAAAUGGAUAAUGUACUAGAGGCCACUAUCAUUAUCAGUGAUCUUACCAGUCAUCUCAUCUGUUAGAUUCCAGUUUGACCUAAUUUUCUGCCCGCAACAUGAUGCCUCUGCACCGAGAAAUUAAGGAUUUAAAAGUUUGUGCUUUUUGCCCAAAAUGUUUUCUUUUGUAAACUGCCUGCACAUCUUUCUGCAAUUGCGGUAGUAAUGAUUUGUAACCAUGUAUCAGUUUGGUUGGAGCGGACGAUCAUGGGAAUGGACACCACCAGAUCCAAAUCAAGAUCAGAAAAUGGUUGUCCCUGAAUUGUGUCUAUCCUUGUGAGUGGCUAUGCAACAUCAUUUUUGGAAUGCUGAGGGCUCCGUAUGGUUUCACUUUUGGGUUGAUGGUCUGGUGACUCCAGUAAUGUCAUUACAACACGAAUAAUGUACCAUUUCACUUCAUUUAAUUGUACUGUUUCUAAUAGAAAAGCAUUGGAACUCUGCAACAACUCGUCCAAAACUAAUUGGACCACCUCUUGCUGAAGAAGCUUGCUGUUUACUGAUUGCCCCCACUUUUAUGAGCGAAAAUGUAUGUUUCAAUGUUCUCGAGUGCUAAUACAUGAACAUCAAUUUUCACUCACUGACAAAGUGGCAAUCGAAGAGUUUUUGUUUCUCCACACCUGCUUGAUUCCUGCGCGUCACAUCACGGUGCACUCAUGCAGAGAGACCCGUUCCUUUCCGAGAUUUCGAUCAGGUAGGUUAGGUAUGACCCUCUUCUUUUGUAGUAUUGUAUGCGACUUUAUUUAUACACUGUACCUGGUUUGCGUGCACUGGUUCCUCUUUUUGUGAGCUCUCAUUUCAUAAACCAAAUCUCGGAUCAAGCUGCUAUCAUCCACACCAUUAUAGAGGGUCUCUCUCUCUCUCUCUCGAUAACAUAAAGUAUGUGCUUCAGGGACGACCCUUUGGCACAGUCUCAUCUCCGGUGCACCCAGUCCUUCAGUGAGUGGCGACCGAAAAAGAUAUUUGGAAAAGACAAGAAAAUCGAAAAAAAAUUCGUUUUCACCUGUAUAUAUAAAAAAAAAUUGGCACCCAACGGGUCCCCUACUGGAAUUGCUGAUGUGUGAUUUCUUUUUCACCGUUACGCAAUCUGAAAAAAAAAAGAAAAUCAAAUCUUUCACGGUUUGUGCAAGAUGCUUCAGGCGUGCUGCUGCUGGGUGUGCAAGUGCAAAUCUAGGGGAGGAACAAUAACGAGCACGGGGUUCGCCCAAAUCUGUCGAUUUUUUAGCCGCUGCAGCGAAGAAUUUGACAGGCCACCAACCUUGGACCCUGCCCCAUUGUACCCCUGAUCGCCUCAGGUAGCUAUUUCCGUUUUUCCGUUUCCUCCCUCCCGGGACGCGGAAUGGACGGACGGACGGACAGCAGUGGAGGCGGUGACACUGACAGCGAUGGGUACGGCCCAGAAUUAUUGGGGGUCGCGCAUCACGUCCUUUCCGGCGCGAUCUCUCUCCUCCGUCUCUCUCUUAUCAGAAACAGGCUCCGGCGAUCGGCGUGCCCCUGACCUAAAAACACGCCAUGAUUCGCCGCUAUCUUGCUGCUGUUCCUCUGUUGGGUGGUGACAGAUGACUGGUUGUUGAGCCUCCGUUUCCAGAACCAGAAACUGCAAGCCGCAUUUGCGUGAUGCCACCAGGCCUUGCAUUGCAAUUUGCUAUCAGAUAAUCGGAUGGAUAUGGAUGGAAGGGAAGAUGACAGCUCUCAUGCUGUGAGCUACACGGAAGCUUGAGGAUGACACGUCGGUCAAUAUCUCCACCUCUGUUCAUCUGCAACUUCUGAUUGGCGGAGCCACGUAGCCUAGGGGAAUGCCGGUUUGACACCUGGAACGGUCCAUUUUCGUGAUCCCAAACUGUAUAAUACUUCAGCUACUGUCUUAAGAUGAGAUGGCCUCAUCUUAUCUCCAAGGACGAAGGGCGGCAUGUCAAAGGGAAGGGCCCAAUCUGAUGAGGCAUAUGGUGGUGUGGCAUCUUUUCCUUGAUGCCUUGUGAUCAACUCAUCUGGAAAAACAAGCAAGUAAAGUACCUAUGCAAAUUGCAACUGAUGGCUUCUUUAUUUGUCCAUACUCCCUUUGUACCAAAUUAUAAGUCAAAUACAUAAAUUUGUUAUGCACCUAGAUAUCAGCAGGGGCGUCCCAGAGCCCGUGCGGGCCGUACGACCGAACUGGACCCUAAAAUUUAUGGGCUCCAACAUUUACUAAGGGUUCUAAGUAUAUAUAUAAUAAUUUUAGGUUUCUUUUAAUUAGUAAAUUAGUCACAAACUCAAUAAACAUGGCCUGCUACUUCCCUCGAGACAAAGCACAUUGAGUCCAUGAUCGUGAGUUAGAAAAGUCUACGGCCAGUAAUUCUUCUUCACAUAAGUUUAUAACCCUUUAUGAGUUUGUGGUUUCAUCUUUUGGACCUGUUCCUCGCCCUUGGUGUUAUUCGUCGCUCAAGAGUCUGAGACCUAGUAGCAAUUCUAGACGACGAGUCCCAGAUUAGGACACCAAACGGAGAUCAUUGUCCGGUAUAAAUUCCAUGUACAAUCUCUAUUUUAUUUAGUUAAUCUUUUAUAUAUUGCCUUUAUAAUAUAUUAAUAUUAUAUUUUUUAUAUUUUAAUAAUAGAUGGUAGACCUUCACUUGUUUUGAACCGGGACGCCCCUGAUAUCAGUCUCGGAUUCUUAAAAACUCGUUUUGUCUCUAGUUUCUAAAACUUGGAUUCUGAGCCAAAAAAAAACCUAGUGAGAGUGUUUAGAUCCUCCGGUUUUUAAAAAUCUGACUUCAUUUAUCGCUCUAUGGGUAACAAGCUGGCAAAAGCUAACAACUUUCUGGUUUUUAAGAAUGUGACAAAAACUAACAGAAAAAAACUGACUUGUUUAGACCCCACCCACUAUUUGGAAACUAGAUUAUCUGGAGGGAUCCAAACAAGAUUCAUGUCUAGAUACAUGACAAAUAUUACGUCUAGAUACAUGGCAACACUAAUGUACCUAGAAAAAUAAAAUAACUAAUAAUUUAAAGCAGAGGGAGUAUUUCCUUCUGUUAAUGCGAAUUCGAGGCGAGGUAGGUAGGUAGGCAGACAUGAACACAGCACAACUGCUCGUAGUAAUUUAGGCCUUGUUGAGUUGAGAGAAUUUUUUGGUUUUGGCUACUGUAGCACUUUCGUUUGUUUGUGACAAAUAUUGUCCAAUCAUGGACUAACUAGACUCAAAAGAUUCAGCUCGCGAAUUACAGGUAAACUGUGUAAUCAGUAUUUGUUUUUGUCUAUAUUUAGUACUUCAUGCAUGUGCCACAAGAUUCGAUGUGACGUGAAAUCUUGAAAUUUUUUAGGAACUAAACAAUGCCUUACACUUUGGGAUCAUGAAGCAAGCGGUGGCGGCCACAUUGUACUAGCUGCACUGCAAGCAACUGCGGGGUGCGCGUAAAGAUCUGGGGUAGGGUAGCAUCAAAGGCAUGUUUGAUGGAUGGAUGGACCUCGCUCGCUCGCUCCCUCCAUCUCCAUGGUCCAUGCAUGCUGCCAUCUGCAUUUCUGCAAUACAAUGCCUCCUCUUCCCCAUCCUCUGCGUCAGUUGCAGAUGAAGACAGCAGCCCAAUCGUUUUCUCCAAAAAGAUGAGGAGGACCGCAGUCGCCCGCUGCAACUUGCGUGGGUUCUCUAUCAUCGGCUCGAUGCCAACUGACAAAAGCCCCCUUCUUCUAAUCUACCCCACGGUAGAUUCCGUUACUGAAAGCCACUAAGUCCAAGCGCAGGUGAAUGGAAACGCCCGAUGUUUAUUGCAGGAAGGAAGCUUAAUGAACAAUCUUUAAUUAAUAAUAAUCUUAUAAUCUACCAGGAACAGGCAGCCAGGCAGGCAGGUGGGGAAGCUGGGUUAGGAUAAGUACGAGAGGGCAAGCCGCACGUGCGGGGCAGCUCGACAGAUGGACGCAACCAAAAUUUAAUCAUCUCCGGGAACACAAAGAUAAAAGCCACACAUCUGCAGUGGUGGAGUGGAAGGCUUCACAGGCCCAGAGGAAAAGGGCGAAGGAGGGAGAUGGGAUUGGAAUUGGAAUAAAAAAAAAGGAAGAGAGCAGGAGAAGCGCGCGCACAACACAAUCCGCAGGCCGCAGCAGAGGAGUGAGUGCAGAGGAGACAUUCAGAUCAAACCCAAGGUGUCGCCUUCUUCCUCUUCCCCCUCCUCCUGAUAUCGACGUCCACCCUCUCCUCGAUUUCCUUUUCCGGGUUUUAAAUAUAAAUCGCCAGCAAUUCUGUACGCAAUACGUUGAGUGCGAAAGAUCCUACGCAGUAUAUGCGUAUGUAUGUGUGUGUGCGUCUGCGCUUCCUUGCUUCCCCUGCCUUCUUUUAUUCUCCUCUCCUUUGUUCGCUUGCGGGCUUGCGGCUUCGGGAAGGAGGAGAGGACGAGGGGCGGGCGGGUGGGCGGGCGAAUGCACAGUUCCGGUGAGUUCUUGGAAUCCGACCCGGCUCUUCUUGAUUCGUUUCCGCGGCCGUGAUCUUAGGGUUGGUUCUUGGUUUGGGCGCUGCUCGAGGCGGAAACACGAUUUUAUCCGGCGCGCAGACGCCUCGAAGCUCGAACUGCGAUUCUAACUCUCACUCGUGCUGUCGUGUGUUCUUGGCACUGCCUGGGACAACAUUGGCUCCAAAAUGCGGCCGAAUUGUUGGUGUUUUUUGGAGUGUGGUUUUGUUGCUGGGAAGGGGUUUUAGGGAAUGCGGCUAAGGUGCGCGCGUUUUAGUCCAUCAGAGACUGGAAUUCUUGGGGCGGACGGACCCGGAGUUGCGCAUUCUUGAUCCCGCUGCUUUCGCCCGCCAAACAAUGAUGCGGCCGCCAUGGCCUUAUCCGAUUUCUUUAGGGUUCUUUUCCGUCGGGAGAAAGUACGCGAGAAAGUGGGGCCAAAGGGAGCAGCUUUUUACCAGUCUUCAGCAUCUACUACAAUGGAUUGUUCGCCCGCAGUGCUUCUGCUUCUUUUUCACUUUUUUUGGGCAGUAAAGUAGUAUUUGGGUGCUUUUGUUGGGAUUGUAAAAAAUAAAGAUCGGAAUCUUUGAACUGUUCUCAACUCAAAUGAUGGUUGCUAGAGCUUUCAGUUGCAAUUGCUCUGUUUCUUAUUGAUCUUUCCUCAGCUGUGGUCCAGACUCCAGAUUUCUUCAGCUUUCUCUAUCCCUUGAGCACAAAAAGAAAGGCAGCUUCUCUUCUUUCAUUUUCAAUUUUAUUAUGAUCUUUGAUUGAGUUGAUGUUACUGCUUGUGCAAUUCCCGUGUAUAAUGCUAAAGAGUUUGUUUCUUCUAUACCAGUUUAGAGCUUCUGUUUUGACGACGCUUGAAACUUAGUGAAGAUCAUUGUCAUGCUUCCCGUGUGCAGCCUUUUCAUAUGAGGUCAAUUGCAGCUGAAUGUUGAAUGGGUCUUUUUGCUGAGAUGAUCGUGAAAUGAUUUAUGCGAUAGUCUGUUGGACGUCUAAUCAUGGUUAGGAUUGGGUUCCGAGGCUUAUCUAUUAAUUUGCUAUAGGCAGCCAGUAAGAUUUCUGUAUACAACAGCAAGAGAUUUCCCUUGCUCUAAAUUUGUACUGAAAUGUCAAAGACAUGAUUAUUAGUUAAAGCAAUAAUAGAUACCCCAAGUUCCAAUCUUCUUUCUUGUGGGCUUUUUUUAUUCAAUCUAGCUAGAUUUCUGUCACAGUCAUACUACACAGCAAAUUUAUGAUCCCCAAAUUGACGUGAUGCAAUCAUACAUGUUCAGUUUUUUAGGUGCUUUGUAGAAAACUUAGUCUUUUGUGGCCUUUAGGCGAGUUCUACAAAAUGUAGUACCUUUUUAAUCAUUUAAUAUAACUUGCAAGUUGGUGUUUUUAUUGUUGGUUCUGUUGGAAAUGAUUAGAAGCAAAACAUAAGUUGUAAAAACAUAUUCAGAAACUCUACUACGCGCGCGAUGGGUCGCUCGAUUGGGAAGCAUGCAACCCGUCACCCUCGUCGCGCUCGCCUCCUCCUCCCCCCCCCCCCCCCCCCCCCCCGAGCUGUUCGCUGAUCUAUUGUGAGAAAAAUACUGUUGGCUGGCAAAAAAAAGUACGGCUAUAAGACAAGCGAACUUGGCUAGCAGGAGAAUAUGGCUGAAAUUACUUUCCACUGAUUCUUUUUGCAGGAGAAUAUGGCUGAAAUUACUUUCAUUGCUUAUUUGCCACUGAUUCUCUUUGCAGGAGAAUAUUGGUGAAACAAUAACUUGACAUAGAGUUCUAGACCAAAGAAGCAAUGGAAAGGGAAUCGUCUACCACAUAUGAGCCAAAAAGGAACUGUGAAAUAAGGGUUUUUGAGAGUUCAGAUGAAAUUUCAACAGAUCUUGCUGAGUAUAUCUCGCAAAUUUCAGAAAUUUCUGUCAAAGAAAGGGGAUACUUUGCCAUCGCCUUAUCUGGUGGUCCCCUAGUCAGUUUUUUGGGGUAAUAUUAUUUCCUCAUAUUUAUUAGAUAUUCUACUCUAUUAUGUACUAGAAUUGUUUACAUAGUUUGCAUUCCAAUUUCUGAACUUUCUCUCCUUCAAUUACUACAAGGAAACUUUGUGAAGCACCAUACAACAAGACCCUGGACUGGUCCAAAUGGUACAUCUUCUGGUCUGAUGAACGUGCCGUUGCAAAAAACCAUGCAGAGAGUAACUAUAAGUUAACAAAAGAAGGAUUUAUUGCCAAGGUAUGUGAACUGAAGAUGCCUUAUUUUUCUUUUCCAUUUUUUGUCCGUGCUGCAGCCUAAAUAAGCUUAUGUCAAGAAUUUUUGUCAUUAAGAUCAGCUUAUUUUGUAUUGAAAUGGUGCUGUCUGUCAUGGUGUCACCUACUCUAUGUUUCCUUCAAAAGUGAGUUAAUUUGGCUCUAUUUUUGUUUAUUUUUCUGUACCAACCUGUUGGGCUAUGUAUUUCUAUAGAUAGGCCCUUGGGCUUAUAGCCCAUUGUCUGUGUUGGUGUAUGUGUUAUAUAUAUAUGUAUGUAUCAAAGACACAGAAAGUGGAGUGGUCUCUGGAAUUUUCCAUACCCCUUCAUGGUGUCGGAGCCUGGUUAGAGAGAGAGAGAGAGCUCGGCGACAGGAGUGACGGACUGGAUCUAGAGAUGUCCAGGCGCCUGAGGUUAGAUUGCCUGGCUGAGGAGUGCACCCGUGCUGCUCCUGUUGGUGGACCUGCUGCUGUGGUACCUCCUGCUACUGGUGCCUUGCUCUGUGGUGAAGAAGGAAGAGAAGGGAAAGCAUCCAGUGGAAGAAGGAAGCAGGUGCGUGUGUCAUCUCUGUUGGCUAUAGUGUGGCUCUUGUGUGGUUGUUGGAGAAAGGGUGCCUGCUGCACAGGGCAUAUAUGCUAUAUACCCUGGGGAUUUAGUUGAGCUAGAAGUUUGUGUGCUGCUUGGUGUCUCUUGAUAACAAAGGCAUCUUAUUAGUUACUGUUGUAGCUCAUACAUGAUGGGGGAAAAUCAAGGAAUUGAGCAAGUGCUUGGAAAAUUGGUAGAACUACUUACUGCAAAGAAGGAUGAGGUCUCAUCUUCAAGCAGAGAAAUUGUUGUUCAUGCUGAACCUGUCCAAAAGAUAGAGUUGAUGCCAAAUGAUGUCAAAUUAGAGGGCAUAAAAAAUUACUUGGCUUGGUCUAGAAGGGCACUUCGGUUGUUGAAAGCAAAAAAACUUGAAGGCUUCGUCAUUGGGGAAUCAUCUGAGCCAUCAGAUAAGUCAAGUCCUGAAUGGAGCACAUGGGAUGCUACCAACUCUCUGGUAGCAGCGUGGAUGUUGAGUUCUAUGACUCCGGUCAUUGCAAACACAGUAGAUACAAUUGUGAGUGCAAAAGAGAUAUGGAAAGCUUUGGAAAAGAUGUAUUCAGGUGUUGGAAAUGUGAUGCUGAUGGUUGAAAUAGAAGACAGACUCCAUGAUCUCAAACAGGGGGAGCGGUCGGUGAUGGAAUAUGUUGCUGAGUUGAAGAGUUUGUGGGCUGAUGCAGAUCAUUAUAAACCUAUCGAGUUGCCACACUCAGAGUGUGUGACAUGGGUGAAGAAGUGGAUAGAAGAAAAGAGAGUCAUUCAUUUCUUAAGGGGGCUGAACCCAGAGUUUGAGGCAAGGCGUUCUGCUAUUUUUCAUCAACCGACUCUUCCUAGCCUAGAUGAGGCCAUAGCUGCUAUUUCACAAGAGGAGUAUAGACUAAAGGUGAUGAGGGAGACUGCUACAUCACCAUCUCCUGCAUCCUUACCUCGUCCAAUUUUUGCAGCAACAGAAAUGAAAGAAAAUAGAAAGUGUUUCAAUUGUGGUGACACUGGACACUUGAGUCGUGAUUGUCCUAAGCCACUCAGGCCCAACAAUGGUAGAGGAAGAGGUACCAGAGGUGCUCUUAGGGGUGGUAGAGGCUAUGGAGGAAGAGGUGGCUAUAGGGCCAACGUAGUGGGUAUAGAAGAGGAGCUUUCUAGAGCAGCAGCUUCAUCGGUGAAAGCUGAAGAACCCAAACAAUGGAAAGAAAAAGUUCCAACUUCAUCAAUGAAAGACGAAGAACCCAGACAAUGGAAAGAUAAAGUUGAGAGCUCAAGAGAUAAAGAUCAAGUUAAUUAUGUUGGUGACUUCGUCAACUUUGCCUACAUAGAUGAAGGUAAUUAUGCUCAUGUAUCAAUGCCUACACGCAUAUCACAGUUAAAUUGGAUUUUAGAUUCAGGGGCAUCAAAGCAUGUUACAGGUGCAUCAUGUGAGUUUGAAUCGUAUAUGCAAUAUCCCCCCACACAUAAAGAAACUAUACAAACUGCUGAUGGCACAUCACAAUUUGUUAAAGGUGUUGGAACAGUUCAGUGCACUCCAUCUAUUAAAUUGUCAUCAGUUUUGCAUGUGCCAGCUUUUCCUGUCAAUCUAGUAUCAUUGAGCGCGUUAGUUGAUAAAUUGGACUGUCGGGUUACACUUGACCGAGAAAAUUGUUUAAUUCAGGAAAGGAGGACAGGGAGGAAUCUUGGGACUGCAACCAGGCAUAGUGGAUUGUGGUAUAUGGAUCGUGAGGACACAGCUGAAGCAUUAUGUACUGUGUUGGCUGCAACGAUAGGAGAGAAGGAAGCUAAUGUGAUGUUAUUACAUUGUAGACUCGGGCAUCUUUCUUUCAACAAAAUAAGCAAAGCCUUUCCUAAUGUAAUGUGUGGGGUGGAUAAGAGCAAACUAUUUUGUGAUGCUUGUGAGUUUGCAAAACACACAAGGACAUCUUAUUUGAGUAAGGGCAUUAGAAGUGCCUCCCCUUUCAUGCUAGUACAUUCAGAUGUUUGGACAUGUCCUGUGGUUUCUAUUAGUGGAAUGAAGUACUUUGUUACUUUUAUUGACUGCUUCUCUCGAAUGACAUGGGUAUAUCUCAUGAAACAUAAAGAUGAAGUGCUAAGAUGCUUCCAAGAUUUUUGUGCCCUUGUAAAAAAUCAAUUCAAUACACAUGUAAAAAUGAUAAGGACAGACAAUGGAACUGAGUAUGUGAAUAAGGAAUUCAGUACAUUCUUGUCGGCUCAUGGUAUUAUACACCAAACCUCAUGCCCAGAUACUCCUCCACAAAAUGGAGUAGCUGAAAGGAAGAAUCGUCAUAUUUUGGAGGUUGCUCGUUCACUAAUGUUUACAAUGAAUGUUCCAAAAUUUUUGUGGAGUGAAGCUGUUUUGACUGCUACAUAUCUCAUUAAUCGCACCCCAUCGAGGAUACUUGGGAUGAAGACUCCAUGCGAAAUGUUGUUAGGUGAGAACAAAUUUGUGGUUCCUCCUAAGGUUUUUGGAUGCACAUGUUUUGUUAGAGAUCAUAGACCUUUGGUGAAUAAACUGGAUCCACGUGCAGUAAAGUGCAUCUUUGUGGGUUAUUCCUCUGGACAGAAGGGUUACAAAUGUUGGAGUCCUAAUGAGAGACGCUUGUUUAUAAGCAUGGAUGUGACAUUCAGGGAGUCAAUUCCAUAUUAUGGUGAGAAGACUGAACUAAGUUUUAUGUUUGAGCCUCAUCUUAUGGGAACUGAAGAAGUUACUCGUGAGGGGGAGAACAAUGUCAUGGAAAAUAAUUUAGUUGAAAAAGUGUCGAGUAUAGAAGGAGUGAUAAGUGGUUCCUUGUCUCAAUCAAGGAGAAUGGGAGUGGCGAAUGAUGAGUCAGUCCCGCUUCAAGAAGAGAAUUCUCAAAUUGACUUGUUCCAAAAUAAGGAUGUCUCAAAGGUGUAUACAAGAAGAAAGUUUAGGUCCUCAAUUGAGGCAACCGAGGUGGCUCCAUCAGCUCCGGUGCAUGAGAGUAACCAAGAGAUAAUUGAUGUAUCUUCAUCAUCAGAAGUUGAAGCUGAGCCAUCAUCAGAUGAUUUGCCCAUUGCACUACGGAAAGGUACACGAACUAGUGCAGGAAUGCCUCCACAAAGGUAUGGGUUUGAGCAUGAUAUAAGUAACUAUGUUUCAUAUGCUUCUUUAUCUCCUGCAUAUAGAGCAUUUGUAGCCUCACUACAAUCUGUGAAAAUUCCCAAAGAUUGGCGAGAAGCAAAAAAUGAUCCCAAAUGGCAUGAAGCCAUGCGGGAGGAGUUGAGUGCUCUUGAAAAGAACCAAACAUGGGAUCUUGUCAAACUGCCUGCAGGAAAAAGGGUUGUCACUUGUAAGUGGGUCUUCACUGUGAAACAAACACCCGAGGGUAAAGUGGAAAGGUGCAAAGCUAGAUUAGUUGCACGAGGUUAUAGCCAGACAUACGGUAUCGAUUAUGAUGAGACGUUUGCUCCCGUGGCGAAGAUGAGCACAGUAAGAAUACUAAUAUCUUGUGCAACCAAUUUUGGGUGGCCCCUGCAUCAAUUGGAUGUUAAAAAUGCUUUCCUUCAUGGAGAUCUACAAGAGGAGGUGUAUAUGGAGGUUCCACCUGGUUGGUCCAAACCUGAAGCAAGUGGGAUGGUGUGCAAAUUGAAGAAGUCUUUAUAUGGUCUCAAGCAAUCUCCUAGAGCCUGGUUUGAUAGAUUUAGAUGGGCACUAUGUGAUAUGGGAUACAAACAGUGCAAUGGAGAUCACACCUUGUUCUACAGACACUUAGGGCGUAAGAUCACAAUGUUGGCUGUGUAUGUGGAUGAUAUCAUUAUCACAGGUGAUAAUGAAGCAGAGAUUGAAUGCUUGAAGAAGAACCUAAGUAAGCAAUUUGAGGUUAAAGAUCUUGGUCAACUUAGAUACUUUCUUGGUAUUGAAAUUGCUCGAUCUCCAAAAGGCAUAUUUCUGUCACAAAGAAAAUAUGUUUUAGACUUGCUCAGUGAGACUGGCAUGCUUGGGUGUCGACCUGCAUCAACACCUAUUGAUCCAAAUCACAAGUUAUGUGCUGAAUCAGGUGAUCCAGUGAACAAGGAGAGCUAUCAGAAACUGGUCGGUAAACUCAUCUACUUAUGUCAUACAAGACCUGACAUCUCAUACGCUGUGAGUGUUGUGAGCAGGUAUAUGCAUGAUCCUAGAAGUGGACACCUGGAUGCAGUUAACCGGAUCUUAAAAUAUUUAAAAGGUAGUCCUGGUAAGGGACUUAUGUUUAAAAGCCAUUGCCAUCUUAAUGUUGAGGGAUAUUGUGAUGCUGAUUGGGCAAGUAGUCUUGAUGAUAGGAGAUCAACAUCAGGCUAUUGUGUGUUUGUUGGUGGAAAUUUAGUGUCAUGGAGAAGUAAGAAACAACCAGUUGUAUCUCGUUCUACUGCUGAAGCUGAGUAUAGAGCCAUGUCACAAGGGUUGUGUGAGAUCUUAUGGGUAAGAAACCUUUUAUCUGAAUUGAAGGUGUUGAGGAAAGGCCCUUCUAUGCUACACUGUGAUAACAAAUCAGCUAUCAGUAUCGCCAAUAAUCCAGUUCAGCAUGACAGGACCAAACAUAUUGAGAUUGAUCGCUUUUUUAUCAAGGAGAAGAUAGAUGAUGGUGUUAUAGUUUUGGGUCAUGUGACUUCAAAUGAACAAGUGGCAGAUUGCCUAACCAAAGGUUUAGGAUUAAAACAGUGUGAGUUAGCAUGUAACAAGAUGGGGAUGAUAGAUAUCUAUCUCCCAUCUUGAGGGGGAGUGUUGGGCUAUGUAUUUCUAUAGAUAGGCCCAUGGGCUUAUAGCCCAUUGUCUGUGUUGGUGUAUGUGUUAUAUAUAUAUGUAUGUAUCAAAGACACAGAAAGUGGAGUGGUCUCUGGAAUUUUCCAUACCCCUUCACAACCAGACAGGGGUUGUAUCUUACAGGAGAUCCUCUAUACUGAUGGUACACCAGUUGCUUCCAUUAAUAUUGUUUUCCCCUAUACAUACCUAAACAAUGAAAAAAUUAUUCAGUGAAAUAAGAUGUUGACAAACUCUUAUAUACAAAUUUAAUAGCUGAAGUGAGUGUCUUAUUCCUUAACCUAAAAUGCUGUUUUGGUUGUCAUGUGCAAAGUUUGGUGCCCACUGAACUAUAUGAUCUGGUGGUUUCUUUUACUAUUGAGGGAUUUUUCUUCGUGACUGAUGUUUGAUUGAAGUUUUGAUGCUGUGUUUGCUCUUUGCUUCCCAUUUUUUUUAUGCUUUUGCGUGGAAGUAAUUGAUGUGAUUAUUUGCCACCACUUGUGUUAGAUCAACCUUAAGUUACAAAAAAAAAUUUCUUUACGUUAUGUCCACCUUGUUGAAGCUACAACCAUGAACAGAAUGAACACUGUAAAGUCUACAGAGCAAGAACGAACUUGUGUCAUACCUCAAUGUUGUUUUGAUAACUAAUAAGAGUGGAAUUUUAGUUUAAUCUAGCCCUGUUUAAGAUCUUAAUAUUUUUAUUGUAUGUUGAUGGUGAUGAAUGCAUGUUAUGAAAUACUACCAAUUUUAUUUUAUGACUAAUGUGUUUUCCAAAAAAAAAUUAUGAUAGUAUUAAAUUAACUCUCAAGGUGGGUCUGACUUACGUGAGGCUUUCUGAUGUUGUAUUUUCAGAGAAAAAAAAUCCUUGUUUCAACCAAAAGUUAGGAGUUUUUGGUAUUUCUGUUUCAGGACGAGGCUUAAAAUUAUCUAGAGUACCAAUCAGAGGGAGUCAUAGAUAAUCAAGAAUUCCAUGUGUGUUGCUUCGAUUCUUUCAAAGAGAAAUCAGGUCAAGAGUAGUGGCAUACAAUAUAUUAGCUCAAAAUCUAUGAUGCUAACAUUCAAUCUCUUAUUUUUGUUCUCAUUUAUCCCUAUCCAUUUUCCUUUCCUGUUACAGUAAAAAUAUUACUGCCAAUUGCAAAGCAGAGCACAUGUCAAGGUAUUACACCUUAGACACUGAUUGGUCUGGAUGGGUGGCUGGGCUAAUUUACAUUAUGAUGUGUCAUGUUCUUGCAGUAUGAUAUUUUUCAAACUUCAGAUAAUGCUAUAUCCUGUGCCAACUUGGGGGUGGGGACUGAUUAAGGCUGCCUAACUACCGCUUUAAUAGUUCCCUCUUCCAGCUACUCUGGAAGCACCCUGCACCAACCACACAUUUCCAUAGCUAUCCAUCAUUGCCAAAUGUCAGACAAAAAACUUAUCAAAAUGGUUUCUGUCAAUAUAAGGCUGGGUCUGAACUGGUCUUUCCUCCAUGCAUUAAUGUUCAGAUUUUUAGUUUCUAUUUUUUCUAGUCUAUAAUGUUUCUUAGUUCAAGGAGCUUAACAAAAAAUCAGUUUACUUUUUUGUUUUUUAAUCUCUCUCUAUUGGGCCCAUUUAAAUCUCUAAGAGUGCAAACUGUUUUGGUUGUCUAAAAGCUUUAAUAUAACCGCAGCAUUCCCUGUUCUGCUAGUGUUACUGUUGCAUGAGAUUUUCUCAAGUGUGUCAUUCAUGUUCUUCUCUGUGGAGUCUUCUGACUAUAUGUCUGAUUCAUUCUGUUCCCUUUCUUGCCAUACCAGUUACAAUGAUUCCCAUGUUUAGCUCAAGAAGCAAAAAAUCUGAACAAGAUGUGUUAGUAUCUUUGUAAUGCUUUUGCCAAGUUAACUAUCUGAUACUUGAAUGGCAUUUACAGGUACCUAUUCCGCAUGGCCAUGUCUACUCCAUAAAUGACAAUGCCACAGUGGAGGAUGCAGCAACAGACUAUGAAUUCAUGAUCAGGCAGCUGGUUAAGGUCCGCACAAUAGGAGUCUCAGAGAGAAACGACUGUCCCAAGUUUGAUCUCAUCCUCCUUGCCAUGGGCGCUGAUGGGCAUGUGGCCUCACUUUUCCCGAACCACCCUGCCAUGGAGCUGAAAGACGACUGGGUCACCUACAUCACUGACUCCCCGCAGCCUCCUCCUGAGAGGAUCACCUUCACUCUCCCAGUAAUCAACUCAGCAUCCAACAUAGCAAUAGUGUCCACCGGUGAUGACAAAGCAAAUGCUGUUCACUUAGCAGUUUCUGACACGACUGAAGGUCCUGAUGCUCCUACAUCACUGCCUGCUAGAAUGGUCCAGCCAACGGACGGGAAGCUGGUGUGGUUUCUGGACAAGGAGGCGGCAUCAUCCCUUGAGUCCAUGAACGACGACGAUGCUUCCUUCGACCGUCAUGAGUACUAACUCUGAGGAUCUGAGGUCGUCUUGAAGUGAAUGAACGGAGGUGUGUAAGUAGGUGGUGGCAUAUGAUGGAAGACGUGCUGUUUGCUCCCCUUUUAGCUCGAUGUAUGCAUUGAUUUGUCUGAGGGUUUAGUUCCGGGAAAUCUGAAAUUGCUCUUGGUCCUUUUGCUAUGAGAGGUGAUUGAAAGCGAGGAAAUGGGUAUGCGAUGUUGAGUCAUCGAAGAACAUCAGAUUUUAACUCUGGUCGUAUGAUAUUAUGUAGUGGAAGUUAGAUUUUUUUUAUUUGUUGGUAUGUCUUUCAUGGCGUCUUCUAAAAACAUUCUGAUCCGCGAGACACCAAUCCUACUGUUCUUUUAGCCCGGAGUAUGUUUCUUCCACUGUUUUUUUUUUUCUGAACAGGAGCUGAGGCUCACUCCAUAUAUUCUGUUUGUGGUCGAACGAGUGCCUAUGAGCUGAAUGAUACAAGUGUCACUCAGCCUUAAGCGCAACACCUUAUUAACGAUGCCAGUAGGCCUGACUUGCACGUUUGGGAGGGCUGCGCUCGCAGGGCUCGAGUGCCCAGAGUAAAUGAUGAUGUCUAGUUUUAAGGUUCUAGGAGAAAAAUCAGACUACAGUAAUAGUGUAGAGUAACUCCAAUAAUGAUAUCUAAAAUAGGGUUCUACUUAUGAUUUGAGAGCUUACGUCUACUUUUGAAGACCCUGUUUUCUAAAAUCAACUUCAGCAACCCUCAAUUGAUGACUCCUAACUUUAUGAUCCUAUUGAUCACAUAUAUACUCCAUCUAUUCCAAAUUAUGAGAUGCUUUAGUUUUACAGAUACAUGGCUUUUGUUAUACACUUAGAUAUACACUAUAUCUAACAUACUAGGGUCUAAUGCCACUUGAUCCAAAGGGACAUGAAGAGAGCAACAGUGGGCAACCGAAAAUAAGGACUCCCUCCAAAGCCCCGUGAAUAAAGGGGUGAAUUUAGCAGUCCUCUAUACUAAACUAAGCUUUAGUCAAGGGAGGUAGGAGUGAUCUUACAGUUUUUUUAGCUCCUGCUGCACAAUAAAGUCUUGCCUCUUCCUUUAUCUUGCCAAUGAGUGCUUCCGCUGUGUUAUGGCCGUCAUAAAAAAUUCGAAAACAAUACGCGACGAGUCAUGCGAUUGGGAAGUGUGUGACCCGUCGCCCUCCUCGCGCUCGCCUCCUCCCCCCUAGCUCCUUCGGUCCUUCCUUCCUCCUUCGGUGCGGGUUUCGGUGGCGGCGGCGGCACCGGCGAGGCAGGCCUCCUCCUCCUCCACGCGACCACACCCACAUCCUAGCCUUUUUCCCCAACUCCGGCUAGGGUUCCGGCGGUCGUGACCCACCCUUCUUCCCCAAAUCUGAAGGGCAUAGAAGGGGCUGGCCAAGGGGAGGCAGGCCAGCGGCUUAGGGGCCCUGGCCACGGUGGUGCUGCCGAGCUAGGGAAGGGCGGGGGCACCAUGGACGAAGGGGGAGGGAAAGAAGGCGGGUGCCUCGGAUGCUAGGGCUCACACGGAUCUGGCGAACCCUAACACCCACGUUGAGCGACACCAUGGCCAGAGGGGGAGGGAAAGAAGGCGGGCAUCUCGCGUGGAGCUCCAGCAAACCCUAGCACCCACGAUGGGGGCAAGGACGAGGAUGAGAGUAGGGUGGAGAGGUGGGUGGCGCAACCACUGGCUUGGAAUGGCAGGUGAGGAAGGCAGAGACAGAGGCUUAAGAGAUGAGCAGGGUCGCGUGACCCGCGAGUGCACGACGGGUUGUGCUUUAACAAC
rnacentral:lncRNA from 1 species